GCGUAGUUGGUUGGUGGUUCAGUGGUAGAAUUCUCGUUUGCCACGCGGGCGACCCGGGUUCGAUUCCCGGCCGAUGCA